rnacentral:lncRNA from 1 species
UUUGGGGAAGCAGUAAGUGUUAAAAGCAUCAGAACUUUGUGAAGCUGCUAAGUAUAACUUUAUUUGCACUAAACUUUUUGCCAAUUAAGAUUAACUAUUAGCCCUGAAGUACUGAAUGUCUAACAGGAAGUGUCCCGUUCGGUUCUCAGGAAGAGGCUAAUCCUUGCAGGUCCCUGGCUGAAGGUGACUCUGUGACCCCAGGAGAAUGUGUAAAUUCUGAAUGUAAAUCCAAAGAGGGCUGGAAAGUUCAUUGAUCAAACAGAGAUUACUUUUUUUAUGGAAAUAGUUUCAUGUGUGAUGCUGUAUUUUUUUAAAAAGUAUUCUUCUGUUAUUGUCCUGCAUUAAAAGACCAGCAGAUUGAUUGUUAUGUUAUUAUAUUGUAUCAAGCUGUUAUUAUAUUGUGUCAAGCUGAUCGUUGCUGAUGUUCUUACAUAAUGAAGUCUGUGAUUGUCCAAUCUUUUUUGUUUCAUUGUAAUCUAACUAUAUAACUUUGC